UACGGAGGGUGCAAGCGUUAUCCGGAUUCACUGGGUUUAAAGGGUGCGUAGGCGGGCAGGUAAGUCCGUGGUGAAAUCUCUGAGCUUAACUCAGAAACUGCCAUGGAUACUAUUUGUCUUGAAUAUUGUGGAGGUAAGCGGAAUAUGUCAUGUAGCGGUGAAAUGCUUAGAUAUGACAUAGAACACCAAUUGCGAAGGCAGCUUACUACACGAAUAUUGACACUGAUGCACGAAAGCGUGGGGAUCAAACAGG
rnacentral:rRNA from 1 species